CCUACGGGAGGCAGCAGUGAGGAAUAUUGGUCAAUGGACGAGAGUCUGAACCAGCCAAGUAGCGUGAAGGAUGACUGCCCUAUGGGUUGUAAACUUCUUUUAUAUGGGAAUAAAAUGUUCCACGUGUGGGAUUUUGUAUGUAUCAUAUGAAUAAGGAUCGGCUAACACAGUGCCAGCAGCCGCGGUAAAACGGAGGAUCCGAGCGUUAUCCGGGUUUAUUGGGUUUAUAGGGAGCGGAGGUGGAUUGUUAAGUCAGUUGUUAAAGUUUGGGGCUCAACCGUAAAAUUGCAGUUGAAACUGGCAGUCCUGAGUUCAGUAGAGGUGGGCGGAAUUCGUGGUGUAGCGGUGAAAUGCUUAGAUAUCACGAAGAACUCCGAUUGCGAAGGCAGCUCACUGGACUGCAACUGACACUGAGGCUCGAAAGUGUGGGUAUCAAACAGGAUUAGAUACCCUUGUAGUC
rnacentral:rRNA from 1 species